AAUAGGAUGCCUAUUGGCUUGAUGGGAGUUGUAGUCUUUACGCUGUUACAUAAUAUUUACUCGAUUCCGCUGUCAUAGAGACACCGGCUGUCUAGUGGCGAGGAGCAUAGACGGAGGUGACUCAAGCAGGGCCGGAACAAAUGUUGGCAGAAAAGGCACGUGCCUAGGGCACACAGCUUCUUCUUUUGACUUCCUGAGAGAAUCUGGUGGCCACCGUAAUUCCCCACUCUCUACAUCAAUCAAAUCAGUUGGUUCCACCACAAUGGAUGGUAAUCUUCCCCUCAUCUUUACAGGAACUUCGUCCUCUUCACAAGGAUCUGGAAAAAUCUAAAAUGAAAGAGUAAAAGAAAAAUGUAAAAGUCAGACAGAAGGUGAAAAAGUGAAAAUAGGAAUGUUAAUAAGAAGUAGUUCAGUGGUGUAACUUCGGAUGCCUGGGCCUGGCUGAAAAGCGCUAGAGUUUUUGCCUUCCUCUGGAGUACCAUUAUCUGUGGUGGUCAACAGUACUUGCCUGGGUCAGCUGCAGCUGCGGCUCAAGGAAGGUCAAGUGUGCUUCAGUGCGGCUCUAGGAGUACGAGUUGGUCAUGGUGCAGGACUACCUUGAUGGAAUCGCAAGUGUGCAUCAGAUUUGGACUGUACGGUCUUGUCUGAGGCAUGCAAGAGACUGGAUUAGCGCCAUUUAUGCACAAUGAGGAAGCAGGGGGAUGGGCUAAAAAGCAUUCACGGAGGGUGCUCGGCCCCAAGAUCCCUGCUUCAUGUUCUUUGGGCAGUGAGCCCACGUUUUUUGAGAAUACAAUUUUUUGGGCAGUGAGCCCAUGUUUGGAGAAUAAGAGCCGCAGCUGGGGUCAGGGUGUAUCUAGUCCUUGAUGCUUAAACUGUUAAAUAAAGCCUGUGACCUCCACAGAUUUUUGCCAAAAUACGUCUCUGUGUUUUAAUUGAAUGGUAGGGUUACAUCCUGGGCCUAGUAUCACACCAGCUCAAAGCUGUUCUUCAUCCCUGAAAUUAAUAUCCCCUGUGUCAACAUUUUGUUUUAGUACCUGGAAAGGCAGACGGC